rnacentral:rRNA from 1 species
UACGUAGGCCCCGAGCGUUGUCCGGAUUUAUUGGGCGUAAAGCGAGCGCAGGUGGUUUAUUAAGUCUGGUGUAAAAGGCAGUGGCUCAACCAUUGUAUGCAUUGGAAACUGGUAGACUUGAGUGCAGGAGAGGAGAGUGGGAUUCCAUGUGUAGCGGUGAAAUGCGUAGAUAUAUGGAGGAACACCGGUGGCGAAAGCGGCUCUCUGGCCUGUAACUGACACUGAGGCUCGAAAGCGUGGGGAGCAAACAGG